UCGGGAAUUUUGGACAAUGGGGGCAACCCUGAUCCAGCAAUGCCGCGUGAGUGAAGAAGGCCUUCGGGUUGUAAAGCUCUUUUGUCAGGGAAGAAACGGUAGUAGCGAAUAACUAUUACUAAUGACGGUACCUGAAGAAUAAGCACCGGCUAACUACGUGCCAGCAGCCGCGGUAAUACGUAGGGUGCAAGCGUUAAUCGGAAUUACUGGGCGUAAAGCGUGCGCAGGCGGUUGUGUAAGUCAGAUGUGAAAUCCCCGGGCUCAACCUGGGAAUUGCAUUUGAGACUGCACGGCUAGAGUGUGUCAGAGGGGGGUAGAAUUCCACGUGUAGCAGUGAAAUGCGUAGAUAUGUGGAGGAAUACCGAUGGCGAAGGCAGCCCCCUGGGAUAACACUGACGCUCAUGCACGAAAGCGUGGGGAGCAAACAGGAUUAGAUACCCCAGUAGUCCCUGAGCGGGCUGGCAAGGCGCAU
rnacentral:rRNA from 1 species